CGCGUAGGUGGUUUGGUAAGCGAGAUGUGAAAGCCCCGGGCUUAACCUGGGAACGGUAUUUCGAACUGUCAGACUAGAGUGUGGUAGAGGGUAGUGGAAUUUCCUGUGUAGCGGUGAAAUGCGUAGAUAUAGGAAGGAACACCAGUGGCGAAGGCGGCUACCUGGACCAACACUGACACUGAGGUGCGAAAGCGUGGGGAGCAAACA
rnacentral:rRNA from 1 species